GCUUGUAUGUGUGUGUGUGUGUGUGCGUGUUGGAUGGUCAUGUGACAGGGAAGAGAUCGUUUGGGCACACAUGGUACAUAAGCUGUGCCCAGGGCAGGACUGCCCACUCUCCAGCAGGUGAGAGCCACACUCUGCACAGACGUGGGUUUCUCUAUUUCGCCACUAUGGGCCCCAAGCAGAUGGUUUUUAAGAAGCUGUCCCGGGACAAAUCGGUGGGGGUGUACAUGGGGAGGCGGGACUUUGUGGAUCACAUUGACUUUGUGGACCCAGUGGAUGGCGUUGUCCUGGUUGAUCCCACGCAAAUGAAGGAUAAAAAAGCCUACGUUACCCUGUCCUGCACAUUCCGGUACGGCCCAGAGGAUGAGGACGUCAUUGGUAUGAAAUUCUGGCGGGAUAUUUACCAGCGCACCCUCCAGGUGUACCCUCCUCUGCAGGAAAAGGACAGGAGCACCCACACCAAAACGCAGGAGAAGCUUCUGCACAAACUGGGGGUCCAUGCGUACCCCUUCUUUUUUGAGUUGCCAGACAACUUGCCCUGCUCUGUGGCUCUACAACCUGCUCUGACUGAUGUGGGGAAGCACUGUGCCGUGGAGUUUGAGGUGAAGGCCUUUUCCUCCAAGAGCCAGGACGAGAAGCCUCCAAAACGGAGCACGGUCAAGAUGAUGAUCCGGAAGGUUCAGCAUGCGCCCCAGCAGAGUGGCCCCGCCCCUUCGCUGCAGACCGCCUACGACUUUGUCAUGUCCGACAAACCUCUGCUGCUGGAGGCCAGCCUGGAAAAACAGACAUACUACCACGGGGAGAACAUUGACGUACAUUUGAACAUCACAAACGACUCCAACAGAGCAGUGAAGGGCAUCACCAUUUUAGUGGAGCAGGUGACCAACGUGGUGCUCUACUCCAAUGACAACUAUGUAGAGCCAGUGGCCGUGGAGCAAAUCUCAGACACAGUGGCCUCCGGUGACAGCCUGGACAAGGUAUACACCAUCCUGCCCUUAUUGGCUAACAACCGAGAGAAGAAGGGCAUAGCUCUGGAUGGAAAGCUGAAGUAUGAAGACACCAACCUGGCUUCCUCCAGCAUUGUGAAGGAAGGUGUGCUGAAAGAGGUCCUGGGAUUGCUGGUUUCUUACAGACUGGUGGUGAAACUCAAAACUAGCGGGAUGAUUGGAUUCAGGUGAGAUUCAGGGGUACUGCUGAGGUGCUGGGGGAGCAGGUGUACCAGGGCUUAAUAGAGCGAUUCUAACGGGUUUCUGAAGCACAGAAUGGUUACACAAAGGAACUAUUGUGUACCUGGGAGGUGCUAGAGUAUUGUUGAGGGGGUAGAUGAGCAUUUUGCCCAUGCUUUUAUCUAGAGUGACUUGCUUGGCUUUUUUAAAGUACAAUCCUUUUUACGGCUGGCAAGCAAUUUAGGUUAAGUACAUUGCUUUUUGUUUCACAUAUUAACAUACUUUUUUGCCUUUAGUUUUUUUAGUUUUGCCCUUGGUGAAUUUGCAUUUUAGCUCGCAUUUCAUCAUUUGUGAAUCACAUUGUACUGUAUAUCAUAUGAAAUAUGCUGUAUAAAUAUAGUUUGAUAUCUUGUAAGUUGUCUAAAAACCAACAAAGUACAAUAGAAAGGGACAAUAAUGUUGAAAAUAAAAUCGCUAACAUCUUAUAACUGCUAGUGUUAACGAGUCAGUGUCUCUGUCUCUGAGUGAGUCAGUGUGUCAGUGAAUGUGUUAGUCAGUGAGUCAGUGAGUCAGUCAAUGUGUGAGUCAGUGUGUCUGUGUGUCAGUGAGUCAGUAUGUGAGUGAAUGUGUGAGUCUGAGUGAGUCAGUGUGCCAGUGAAUGUGUGAGACAGUGUGUCUGUGUGUCAGUGAAUGCGUGAGCCAGUGAGUCAGUGUGUCAGUGAAUGUGUGAGUCUGUCUGUCAGUGAGCCAUCCGUGAGUCAGUUCUGAAAUCACCUGCUCUGUGCUCUCUGUGUUUCAGUGAGGUCCGAGCUGAGCUGCCCUUCCAGCUCAUGCACCCCAAGCCUGAGUCAGGUAGUGAGGGUGAUGAGGAGGUGGUCUGUGACGAGUUGAAGCACUGCUCCGUUAAGGGAGGAAAGGACAAUGAGGAAGAGGAGGAGGGCAAUGCAU